UACGUAGGUCCCGAGCGUUGUCCGGAUUUAUUGGGCGUAAAGCGAGCGCAGGUGGUUUAUUAAGUCUGGUGUAAAAGGCAGUGGCUCAACCAUUGUAUGCAUCGAAAACUGGUAGACUUGAGUGCAGGAGAAGAGAGUGGAAUUCCAUGUGUAGCGGUGAAAUGCGUAGAUAUAUGGAGGAACACCGGUAGCGAAAGCGGCUCUCUGGCCUGUAACUGACACUGAGGCUCGAAAGCGUGGGGAGCAAACAGG
rnacentral:rRNA from 1 species